ensembl:lncRNA
CUCUGAACCGGACCGUCGCCGCUCUUUGCUCCUGGCCAUCUCAGCUCGUCGCGGAGAGGAGCACGUGCUUCCCUAGCACUGUUGUGGUUUGACUCGUACUUUGGACACUGCAAGAAUAUUCUUCACCAAGAGGUUGAUCAAACCAGAGAAAAGUCAUGACAUGCUCAAGGAAGUAAAGCCUGCCUGAAUAAGCAUCAGGAAGACCUGGCGCCCCCCGGUGCUCUUUGUUUAACAGAGGAGGCAUCCUUUGGACAGAAUGGAAGAGGUGUUAGAGAGAAUCACCAUGUCAGUAUGACAAGAAGAGUACUGCGAUAUGUUGGCAACAGCAGGAUGGCAACCAGCUGGCAGCAAUGAUAGACUAUGAAUUAACAAGAAUCAUAGAAUCAUAAAAUGGUGUGGGUUGAAAAGGAUCUCAAAGAUCAUCUAGUUUCAAACCCCCUGCCAUGGGAGACCUGCUAACCACAAGAUAAGGCUUCACAGAGCCACAUCCAGCAUGGCCUUGAAUGCAUCCAGGGAUGGGGCAUCCUCAGUCUCCUUGGGCAACCUGUUCCAUUGCAUCACCACCCUCUGAGUGAAAAGCUUCCUUCUAAUAUCUAACCUAAAUCUCCCCUGUCUGAAUUUAAAACCUUCUGCCUCAGAAGAAGCACUGGAUUCAUAAGAGGCUACUUUAAUCUUUUGCAACCAGCAGGAGCAAGUAGGUUUUUUUCUCAGAUGUUCACAUAUGUUGUUUCAGAAAUUUCUCAUUAUGGCCUAAUAAGCAAUGGAAGUUUUUCAAACUGGGGAAAAACAAAAAGGUCAGCCAGAAGUCUCUGUGAUGAAGCUGCUGAUGGAAACCUAAGGAGAAAGUAAGUGGUUGAAGACCACUAGAGGCCGCUACCAGAGGGACAUUAACAGAUAUUAAUGAAUUCGGAGAGGGAAAAAAAAAAGAGAAUAUGUAUGUUAAUAUACUGCAUAAAACAUAUGUAUGUUUUAACUGAAACGUAGAAUCUGAACUCUGAGAGAG